AUUGAAUGCUGGCGGCAGGCCUAACACAUGCAAGUCGAGCGGAUGAAGGGAGCUUGCUCAUGGAUUCAGCGGCGGACGGGUGAGUAAUGCCUAGGAAUCUGCCUGGUAGUGGGGGAUAACGUCCGGAAACGGGCGCUAAUACCGCAUACGUCCUGAGGGAGAAAGUGGGGGAUCUUCGGACCUCACGCUAUCAGAUGAGCCUAGGUCGGAUUAGCUAGUUGGUGGGGUAAAGGCCUACCAAGGCGACGAUCCGUAACUGGUCUGAGAGGAUGAUCAGUCACACUGGAACUGAGACACGGUCCAGACUCCUACGGGAGGCAGCAGUGGGGAAUAUUGGACAAUGGGCGAAAUCCUGAUCCAGCCAUGCUGCGUGUGUGAAGAAGGUCUUCGGAUUGUAAAGCACUUUAAGUUGGGGGGAAGGGCAGUAAGUUAAUACCUUGCUGUUUUGACGUUACCAACAGAAUAAGCACCGGCUAACUUCGUG
rnacentral:rRNA from 1 species